rnacentral:ncRNA from 1 species
UUAAAAGUUGUGAUGAGGAAGUAGUAAUAUAAUUAAUAUUUUUUAAGAGAGUUAGCGUAUGGUGAGAAGCUAAUAAAAUAUAUUAUAUGAAUUCACCCUCUGAAUGUAUAAUGAAAAGUUAUAACGUUUAUCUAGCGUUAAUAGAUUAAAGAGCAUAGAAAUAUCUAUGAAGUAAGGUGGUACCGCGAAAAAUCGUCCUUACA